CGCUGAAUGUGUGUGUGUGUUUGCUGACUGAAAUUACGCUGUGACUUACCCAAGCAAUUGUAGAUGCCCAUCAUUACAUGCGGAGUUGAUAUUGAUACCCGCGCACCGUCGCUCUUCUCUACACAGUUAUUUUUAACAUGUUCAGUGACACUUUGCAGAGAGUGAAUGUGCAUUGAUUUGAUGUUAAUGCAUUAGAGCCGUUAUAGGCAGAAUUGUUGCUUUUUUCACCACCGAAUUUCGCGCGGGACCAAUGUUGCACGUAUUUUUCCUAAUGCGCUUUUACCCAAGUGUAGCCUAUGUGUACAGGCAAUGUUCACCCUCUGGCUUCUGAAGAUGCCUCCGCAAUUUUUGCCUCAAUAAACCAAGACAUAUUACCAAGUAAGAGCCGCGUAGCUCAUUCAGUAGGCAUGUACACGGAAUUAUAAAUUAUAGGGAUAGGCGGCGUGCGCUUAUUCUCAGCAUGUCUAACUUUCGUGGCUCAUCCCUGGCCGUCAUUCGAGUUAAAUGCAAGGACAGGGAUGACUCCAAAACUGCGACUACCACCUAAAACAUCACGGCCCGCUGAUUUAUAUUGGAGAACUUUGGACUUUUCAGCUGUGGAUACCAACCAAAAAGCGCUGCACAUUUGCGCGGUGAUUCCAACUUUCUAGUAGGCCUAAUUAAAUUAACUAGGUUUGUGGAUGCAGGACGGAUGGUUGUUCAAGCUCUCUCAUGCCACCAACAAUUGUGAAAACAGGACAAGAAUGUGGCAGAAUCACUUUUUGGAAACGUCCGAUAGAGAUUUCGUUGUCGAGUCGACACUGGAUUAAGUUCUUGAAAAUAGACGAGUGUUAUGCGUCUCAUGCUUGUUUCCUUUACACGAGGGCUGUGAGAGCGAAGGAGGAAUGCUGGUCCGAGAGAUAUUGCCGCUCAUUUUAGGUUUUUCGUAUUUUGUUUUUGGUCACUGCUUUCUAACGUCGUUUUUACUUUUUUUCCAGUUCACUCAGGGAGAGCCCCAG
rnacentral:lncRNA from 1 species